UCUUCGGAUCGUAAAGCCCUGUCGGAAGGGACGAAAGACGUAAUGGCUAACAUCCAUUACGAGUGACGGUACCUUUAAAGGAAGCACCGGCUAACUACGUGC
rnacentral:rRNA from 1 species